rnacentral:rRNA from 5 species
AAGUGGUAGGAGAGCGUUCUAUUUGCGUCGAAGGUAUACCGGUAAGGAGUGCUGGAGCGAAUAGAAGUGAGCAUGCAGGCAUGAGUAGCGAUAAUUAAUGUGAGAAUCAUUAACGCCGUAAACCCAAGGUUUCCUACGCGAUGCUCGUCAUCGUAGGGUUAGUCGGGUCCUAAGUCGAGUCCGAAAGGGGUAGACGAUGGCAAAUUGGUUAAUAUUCCAAUACCAACAUUAGUGUGCGAUGGAAGGACGCUUAGGGCUAAGGGGGCUAGCGGAUGGAAGUGCUAGUCUAAGGUCGUAGGAGGUUAUACAGGCAAAUCCGUAUAACAAUACUCCGAGAACUGAAAGGCUUUUUGAAGUCUUCGGAUGGAUAGAAGAACCCCUGAUGCCGUCGAGCCAAGAAAAGUUUCUAAGUUUAGCUAAUGUUGCCCGUACCGUAAACCGACACAGGUGGGUGGGAUGAGUAUUCUAAGGCGCGUGGAAGAACUCUCUUUAAGGAACUCUGCAAAAUAGCACCGUAUCUUCGGUAUAAGGUGUGGUUAGCUUUGUAUUAGGAUUUACUCCGAAAGCAAGGAAACUUACAACAAAGAGUCCCUCCCGACUGUUUACCAAAAACACAGCACUCUGCUAACUCGUAAGAGGAUGUAUAGGGUGUGACGCCUGCCCGGUGCUCGAAGGUUAAUUGAUGGGGUUAGCAUUAGCGAAGCUCUUGAUCGAAGCCCGAGUAAACGGCGGCCGUAACUAUAACGGUCCUAAGGUAGCGAAAUUCCUUGUCGGUUAAAUACCGACCUGCAUGAAUGGCGUAACGAGAUGGGAGCUGUCUCAAAGAGGGAUCCAGUGAAAUUGUAGUGGAGGUGAAAAUUCCUCCUACCCGCGGCAAGACGGAAAGACCCCGUGGACCUUUACUACAGCUUGACACUGCUACUUGGAUAAGAAUGUGCAGGAUAGGUGGGAGGCUUUGAGUAUAUGACGCCAGUUGUAUAUGAGCCAUUGUUGAGAUACCACUCUUUCUUAUUUGGGUAGCUAACCAGCUUGAGUUAUCCUCAAGUGGGACAAUGUCUGGUGGGUAGUUUGACUGGGGCGGUCGCCUCCCAAAUAAUAACGGAGGCUUACAAAGGUUGGCUCAGAACGGUUGGAAAUCGUUCGUAGAGUAUAAAGGUAUAAGCCAGCUUAACUGCAAGACAUACAAGUCAAGCAGAGACGAAAGUCGGUCUUAGUGAUCCGGUGGUUCUGUGUGGAAGGGCCAUCGCUCAAAGGAUAAAAGGUACCCCGGGGAUAACAGGCUGAUCUCCCCCAAGAGCUCACAUCGACGGGGAGGUUUGGCACCUCGAUGUCGGCUCAUCGCAUCCUGGGGCUGGAGCAGGUCCCAAGGGUAUGGCUGUUCGCCAUUUAAAGCGGUACGCGAGCUGGGUUCAGAACGUCGUGAGACAGUUCGGUCCCUAUCUGCCGUGGGCGUAAGAAGAUUGAAGAGAUUUGACCCUAGUACGAGAGGACCGGGUUGAACAAACCACUGGUGUAGCUGUUGUUCUGCCAAGAGCAUCGCAGCGUAGCUAAGUUUGGAAAGGAUAAACGCUGAAAGCAUCUAAGCGUGAAGCCAACUCUAAGAUGAAUCUUCUCUAAGCUCUCUAGAAGACUACUAGUUUGAUAGGCUGGGUGUGUAAUGGAUGAAAGUCCUUUAGCUGACCAGUACUAAUAGAGCGUUUGGCUUAUCU